CCCGAAUAGAUACUAUUUUUACCAUCGUGACCACAGUCACGAUACUGAAGACUGCCACCAGCUUCACGACAAGAUCGAGAGGCUUGUUAGGCAGGGGCGGCUGAAUCAUUUUGUUCGAAGAGCGGCCCCUCAACGUCGUGCUCCAAGAGUUCAGCAGUUGCCCUCUUUGCCUCAACAGCAUCUCCCUCAAUCUCAACCGCAGCAAGCACCAGUGCGGUAGGAAUGAC
rnacentral:lncRNA from 1 species